rnacentral:rRNA from 1 species
UACGUAGGGGGCGAGCGUUGUCCGGAUUUAUUGGGCGUAAAGAGCUCGUAGGCGGUUCGAUAAGUCGGACGUGAAAUCUCCACGCUCAACGUGGAGGGGCCGUUCGAUACUGUCGUGACUCGAGUCCGGUAGGGGAGUGUGGAAUUCCCGGUGUAGCGGUGAAAUGCGCAGAGAUCGGGAGGAACACCCGUAGCGAAGGCGGCACUCUGGGCCGGUACUGACGCUGAGGAGCGAGAGCGUGGGGAGCAAACAGG